UAUUCGGUACCUGCGUUGGAUAGCAACUAAUUUAGAUUUGUUAAGCUCAAAAUAAUCAGGUGUCGUGCGAAAACUAGCAAAGCAAACCUCAAAAGAGGCCAUAUAAGAAGACGCACGAAAAAUAUACCAAAAAAGACACAAUAAUUUAACGUGGUUCGGUUAAUCGACCUACAUCCACAAAAGGAGAUGAACAAUCUACUAUAUAAAAGAGAGUACAAAACAUCGACAGAGACAAACCUCACACAAUUCACUCGCAGAAUAAAAAAGGUUCUGUUAUGAACUAAUAGGAACAUUUAGGGUUGUGAAUUGGGAAUUUUGAUGGAAUUUGGGGAUUUUUUAGAUUCAGCAAUUAAAGGGAUAAGGUGACACGUGGUUGACUGAGAGCUGGAGUUACUUUACAAGUGGUAUCAAAGUACGACCCUGGCUACCAUGACUAUUACAGAAACAAGGUAUAAAAGUAUGGAAGAAAACAUGAAGAAACUGGAAGCACAAUUACAAACACAGGUGGAAGAUCUAAGACAGAAAAAUGAGGGAACAACUGUCAAAAUUGAUGAAUUGGGUAAGAAGCUUGAUCUUCUAAUGGAGAAACUUCUUCCAGCUCAAGACGGGAUAUUGGGGAGUGCCCCAGGAGAUCCAAUCCAUGGUACUGGGUCCAGCAGUAGGUCUAGGUUCGGAUGCGCACCCAAGACAGUAACUUCUUUUCUCGAGUAAUGUUUCCCUACUUCGACGAGGUGGAUCCCUGCACAUGGUUAAGAAAAUGUGAGCGGUACUUCAGCUUUCAUCAUAUUGUAGAUCCACAACAAAAAUUGAAAUCAAUUGUUCUCCAUUUUAAUGGGAAGGCUGAGGCUUGGUUUUUCUCUUAUCAUGUUAGUAAAAGAAAUGUCAAGUGGAAUGAAUUUACUGAAGAAAUUUGCAAAAUAUUUUAUGAUGCAAGUAACAGCAAAUUGAACGUGGUUGGCUGGGAGCUGAAGUAACUUUACAAGUGGAAUAAAAUCGACGAUCAAGAUUAAAAGUUCAUUAAACCAAAUAGAGGGCUGAGAUCAGUUCGGUAGUUAGUUGUAGGUUGUUAAUACCUAAUUAGCCAGCUGGAGAAGGCAGUUACUGAAUUGGUAUUCGAGCUUCAUGAAGUCAUCCAUGGCUAUUGUAGUUAGUUAGUUAGUUACGAAUAGUCAAUACUUGCAUCAGUUGGUUGAGCAAAUCUGUAACCCAUUUCGUUAACAAUAAAAUUCACUUUUGAUGA